AAGAAUUGAAUCCAAGAGGAAAGAGUUCCUGGGAACCUCCAAUUUGUAGGCAGAAGGAUCGAGCAUUGUAAAUCCACCCGCGUAAAUCCAGGAAACUUUACCUCGCAAGCAGGACUCUGGCUUCUGUUGGAGUUGAUCAGCUACCACUGCUGGUGGAGGUAAGACGACACCACAGUCAGGGCUGCUGAGAUGAAGGCUUUUGACUUACCAACCAACAGGACAUUAUCUAUAUAGUGAAAGCUUUGGACAGCAGAGGGUAGAAAUACUUGCACUAAAUCUUGCCUCUGGUGACAAAUUUUGUGUGGGAGGAGUUUUCCCCAUAAGUGUUUUUACAUGUAGCAGCGCCCUGAAAAGAAAAGGAGCAUGUACUGCCAGAUUCCAGGGGGUCUUCUCGUAUCCCCUGAUUUGACCUUUAUGGCCCCUAUGUCUUUUCUCCAAAAAGGCAUAGUGACUUUCCUGGCCCUGCGUUGGGUGCCAGUUUGUCAAGUGGCCAAAGCAGCAGGGCAGUUAAGUUAGCUUGUCACAUUUCCAUAGAUUCAGCUGGCAAGGAGACAGUGAACCAUAAGGAUUUAUUAUUUACACAGACAGUGAAAACAAGGGCAGUUUUGUAUCACUCCCCAUAUGCCUAGUCCCACAGGAUGACACUGAACCAGAGAGGCCAGAUGAGAGAAAACACACGUGGUGGGUCAUUCUGUCAUUGAGAACGCUCCUCUGAGCUAUGGCCCAGCAGUUUUAUAGACCUAUGCAGAAGCCUGCAGCGUUACCCCAAGGGAGGGCAUCAAAGCACAAAGUCCCAUCCCUCACCUGAACCAGCGGGCUGAUGAGAAAAUGCUUUGUGGGAGCCUCCGGCAAGAGAGCAAGGAUUCUGGGAGCUGCGGAGGGGGAUGAGAAAUGGCCUGUGACAGCUUCUCAUAAGACUGCCAUUUUUCCGGGGGAAGAUCACAGGGUGUUCUGCCAGGACUCGGGUGACUGCGGUCAAGCCCUGACUACAUGACCUAUGUGAAGAAAAGCAAAGAGGCCAGGGCGCCACAUUGGGGCCGUUGGCCUACAAUUUAUACAUAACCACGCAGGCCUUGUAGCUUAGAAUCUUAAUUAGCAUUUUGUAGGAAAUGAGAGUCUAGGUGUGCAUGACUAGUGAAUGGAGAAUUUUAAGUGGUACCAUUAGCUGUAAACUUAUUAAGUCAGGUUAAUAUGGCUCAAAUAGAAAAUACUUUGUUAAAAGCAUUGGAACAUGAAAAUAAAUCUUUUCUUAUUAUUCCUGUGCCGUGGUUAUGACUUUGGAAUUCCUCUAAUAAAAAUGUAGAAGCAAAUAGUUGAAAUCAGAAUUAAAAGCUAAAUAAGGGCCACAUUUCCCUCGAGUAUGAUGAUAAGAGGAUAGGUGUAAGGCAAAGUCUUCUUGCUUAUGGGUAGAAUAAUCUUAUACAUUUAGAUGGAAAGGUCCUUUGCAUUCUGACAUUUAUCCUUUGUAUAGUUGCUGUGUAUUCGUAGUCACUUUUUGUAAGCCUCAAGUGGUGUAAAUAAAAUAGCUUUUGAUUGCCAGAGACUUAUAUUUAAAUCACUAUUACUAACUAAACAUCUAAAUUUCUUGUAACACAUGGUUACCUGGUUUUUUCCCCCUAUCUUUUUCUAUGCAGGGUAAAUUCAGGCUCUUUUCCUCAGGUUUUAAAUUAAACUGGAUUAAAAUAAACCUUUGUACUGCUGG
rnacentral:lncRNA from 1 species